GCAGGAAAGCUUCUGUAAGCCUUAAUGUGGGAGCUGAAAGCCAUCACACUGUUGGUUUGCACCACUCUGACUGUGCUUUCCCCAGGUAAAGCCACCAAAGCAUUGCAAUUCCGAUUUGAGAAACAAAUGGAGCCACAGACCUUCGUCACAUCUCAGCAGAAAAUCAUUCAGAUCUUCCUGGAGUCCCCUUGGAGACCAGGGUGUCCAUGGCAGAUUCCUGUGGCUCCUGUACACUGGUGAAGAUGCUGAGAGGAAUGAGGGCAUUUUGACUGUCCCAUGCUGUAGAAGGCUUAAUUCUUAAUUACUAAUUAAUUCUU